rnacentral:rRNA from 1 species
AGUCGAGCGAGAGGGGGUAGCAAUACCCUAGUAAAGCGGCGCACGGGUGAGUAACACGUGGAUAACCUGCCUCGAAGUGGGGAAUAACCCCGGGAAACCGGAGCUAAUACCGCAUAAUCUGACGAGAUCUGUGGAUUUUGUCAGCAAAGGAGCAAUUCGCUUUGAGAGGGGUCCGCGGCUGAUUAGCUAGUUGGUGAGGUAAUGGCUCACCAAGGCCACGAUCAGUAGCCGGUCUGAGAGGACGGUCGGCCACACUGGAACUGAGACACGGUCCAGACUCCUACGGGAGGCAGCAGUGGGGAAUUUUUCGCAAUGGGGGCAACCCUGACGAAGCAACGCCGCGUGGGUGAUGAAGUAUUUCGGUACGUAAAACCCUUUCGACGGGGACGAAGCCGCAAGGUUGACGGUACCCGUAGAAGAAGCCCCGGCUAACUCCGUGCCAGCAGCCGCGGUAAUACGGGGGGGGCAAGCGUUGUUCGGAAUUACUGGGCGUAAAGGGCGCGUAGGCGGUUUGCUAAGUUGGAUGUGAAAACUCUGGGCUUAACCCAGAGCCUGCAUCCAAAACUGGCAAACUUGAGUACUGGAGGGGAAAGCGGAAUUCCUGGUGUAGCGGUGAGAUGCGUAGAUAUCAGGAGGAACACCGGUGGCGAAAGCGGCUUUCUGGACAGUAACUGACGCUGAGGCGCGAAAGCUAGGGGAGCAAACAGGAUUAGAUACCCUGGUAGUCCUAGCCCUAAACGAUGGAUACUUG